UACAGAGGUGGCAAGCGUUGUUCGGAAUUACUGGGCGUAAAGGGCGCGUAGGCGGCCAUCUAAGUCAGACGUGAAAUCCCCCGGCUCAACCUGGGAACUGCGUCUGAUACUGGGAGGCUAGAGUUUGGGAGAGGGAUGUAGAAUUCCAGGUGUAGCGGUGAAAUGCGUAGAGAUGCGGAGGAACACCGAUGGCGAAGGCAGCCCCCUGGGCUGACACUGACGCUGAGGCACGAAAGCGUGGGGAGCAAACAGG
rnacentral:rRNA from 1 species